rnacentral:rRNA from 1 species
UACGUAGGGACCAAGCGUUGUUCGGAUUUACUGGGCGUAAAGGGCGCGUAGGCGGUGCGGUAAGUCACUUGUGAAAUCUCUGAGCUUAACUCAGAACGGCCAAGUGAUACUGCAGUACUAGAGUGCGGAAGGGGCAAUCGGAAUUCUUGGUGUAGCGGUGAAAUGCGUAGAUAUCAAGAGGAACACCUGAGGUGAAGACGGGUUGCUGGGCCGACACUGACGCUGAGGCGCGAAAGCGUGGGGAGCAAACAGG